rnacentral:misc_RNA from 1 species
CAGGAUAAUUGUUGAAUUCAUAGCCAGUCAAGAUGAAUGCUGUUCAUUCUUAUCAGCCCCUGCAUAGAUUUGUUAACUAUAUAAAAAAGCAGAUCAAUACUGUGGGGAACAAAACUUUAAGUGUGGUGUGUAUAUGUGUAAACCGAGAGUACGGCCAUGAACCUUUCUGCACCUAUACUCGCUUUCCACGCUGACGUGAUCUAUAGAGGAGUUGAAACAUUUUACAGUUUUAGAAGUGCUAACUCUAGACAACAAUGAACUCGAUGACAAAACCCAAUUUGUGAGAAACACCCGUUUACAAGAAUUGUCACUGAAUAAGAACAAGUUCGCAGAUCUGUACAGGUUAAUGAACCAAUUAUCGAGCUGUUAUCCGAAUCUGCAGUACCUUAGUCUUCUCGAUAAUCCAGCAUAUCUAAAUAAGGACAAAGACGACUAUCAGAAAUACAGGUAUUACGUCAUCCACAAAUUUCCCAAGCUUAAGUUCCUGGACUCCACCCGUGUAACUACUCAGGAGAGGAUAAAGGCCAAGAAAAUCAGUGCAUUUGUAAGCGUUUUUGGGCUUAACAGGAACAUUGUUUAUAUGAAUAAGUUGACGCCUAAAAACAGUGGUAUACAAUCUAAGAAGCUACAACUUUCGUCAUUUCAAUAAACAACUGAUGGAUAUUCGCGCCAAGCUACUCAAGGACUGUAUGCACCGUCGUUUCUAAUUUGAACUGAUGGACUAGAGGAAAGUCAUCUAAUGAACAACACCCACCGUUAACCAUUGGGCUACUCUUGUCAGACCGAAUAGUGGGAUUUGGCCGUCACUCUUAUAAAGCAGUUGUAUGGCCUGGCCCCAAAUUUCGGGUAAUGGGACGCGAACGCUGAAGCCGCAGAUCCGUAGCCAGACAUUGUAAUCACUUAGCCACAUUCUGCCCAAUGAGUAAUACUUGUUCUUUAUGUUCCUGUGUUAUAUGUUGUUACACAUUUUUAAAAUGUAUCUUGAUAUUAAAGUAAUUGCAUGUACUUGUUGAUCUGAGGUCACCAGAAGUUGUUAUUAAAGCUUAUCGUUUUAAACUUUUCA